rnacentral:tRNA from 1 species
ACGGGUGUAGCUCAAUUGGUAGAGUAGCGGUCUCCAAAACCGUUGGUUGUGAGUUCGAUUCUUACCACCCGUG